GAAAGCAUGACAAGACCUCUAUUUUCUCCUUGUGCUCUAGGAAUGUCAAGCAUGACUUGGUUUUUGUUGAUCUCACUGAGUCUCAAAAAGCACUGAAACGGGAAGAAAAGUUUUGAAGCUGGUGAUCUGUUGCAGCCCUGAUCCGUCGCUGCUGAUACUACUGCUCAGAGCCCCUCUGGAAGGUAACCUGAUCUCUUUGGUAAUGCAGUGUCCAGAACUGAAGACAGUACAUUAGAGGCAGUCACAUCACAGCUGUGCAGAGAACUACUCCAUUUGAGAUGGCUGUAACUUGACCAAAUCUACUGAACAUGUCACAGUGGUGGCACACCGUCCCCCCAGAAUUAACAAAAUACACCCAGCUGGAUUAAAUGACUUUUUCUGCUCUCAUCCCUUGAGAUUAAUGGAUGAUACGUUGUACUGAUCCAGUGCUUCUUGUGGGACACUUGCCUCUGGCUGUGUUAACUUCCCUUUGACAAGAACCAGUACAACCAGAGAUAGAAACAAGAAGAUUCAAGUAUGCAUGUGCAUCAACCAAUUCACUGGCUUCAGCCUGACAGCAAUUUUUUUGUCCCUUGAUGAACGCAGACAUAAAAAGGAAGUACAUGUGCAAGUGGAGGGCAAAAGAGCCUGGUGGCAACAUAGCUCCCAUAGGACCCAAGUCCUGAAAUAAGGGAAAGUAGUGGGAGUUGUAGCUGUAUAUCUGACGUUAGGUCUGUGGAGUCCAAAGUGUUGUGGCAAGAUGUUUACAAAGUUCAUCUUACAUUUGCUUCUAAGUAUGUGGGAUGCUGUACAGCUCUCAACUGACCCUUAUUUCAGAAGACAAUACUCCUCUCAGCCCCACCAAUAUCUAUAUUCCACACAAAUAGAGUGUCCCUCCCUUGUGCUGUUGAAAACAAUUUAUCUCAGAAAUAAAGAAUCAAGAGUUUUGAGGUGAUAGGAAUGAUCUGGGCCAGGCAUGUGCUUCUAGGCACUAUGGAAAUAACAGCAGCAGCAGAACGCUGAACAUAUGAAAUCCAAUUUAUGACUGUCUAAUUAGGUAUACUUAUUUCAUACGGAAUAAAAAAAAAGGUAAAAAUGAAAUAGAAGAGGUAUCAAGGAUGGUUAAGAUGACUACAAAAUCCAAGAAAAUAAACCGUAGGCUAAUAUUUGUAGGUCAGAAAAGGUGUUGGAUUCAGUUCCACAAUUACGGAUAUGGAAAAUACCUAGAAUGUGCAGCACUGCAACUAAAUCAUGAAUUUACAGAUUCAACAACGCUGAUUGGAAGCCAGAUCUCAUCAUCUGUGACCCCCUCAACAAGUGCAGGUAAAGGUGUGAUUGGAUCUAAUGCAUGACACACAAGAGUGUGGCACAGCCAGAACCAGAAGCCCCAUCCAGUGCAAGACUCUUGGUCCUGGCUGCGAGUGUGGGCCUGGGGGUUUUGCACACAUUCAAGCCUUGCAGAUCACGGCCACUAAGAUCACCUGGGCUCAGAGAUUUCAUGCUGGCAUGGAGCACCCUUGCUUUUUCAAGCUCUAAUUUUAUAGCUGGUUGGAACUUUUUAGUGUGUGAUAAGUACUUUGCAUGAGUAGCCAGUCUUAAGAUGAUUGCAUAAUUAACCAGUUAAUUGCAUGAUACCUGUAAACAUGUAGAAUGGGCCUAUGAAUAAAACUAGCCACUGUUAAUAACUCCUUGGGAAACUUUCUAUCACCUCGGGUUUUCAUCAUUUGUGUCAUCCCAUUAUCUACCCUUCUAAGGAAAAGUAAACUGGGGCCCACCAUGCAAAAUUUUAUCAGCCCCUUCCCAUAUCUGCAUGAUCUUAAAUUGCAUGGAAAGGCAGCUAAAGAUACCCUCGGCCUUCUCUAAUUAUAGCUGCAUGGUGUUCGGAUGAAACAAAUGUGCCAUGGUGUGAUCAUCAAUAGCCAAGCUGGGAAUGGUCUAGGCUGAACCCCAGAGGAAGUCAACGAUGCAAGAAAAUGACAAGCGCUUCGGUAUUUCAGAGCAUGGCUCCAUCAGCAAUGUUGAUUUUAAAUGGAAAACAAAAGUAAAAACCAAGGAGAAGUUCAAUCUACUCCUGAAAUCCAGGCUCUUCAGCACUAACUAACAAUUGGACUCUGGAAGAAUUGAAAAAGUCAGACAGGAUGGCCAGAAAGGAGGUGAAAGUUGUCCUGAGCUGACUUGCAGGUAAAAUGGGAGGGCUAGAAAGAAAGCACCUGGCAUUGCUCUCUAGUGACUUUUCUUAAAUUAGCCUGAGGAUCCUCUGUGGACUUACGAUUGAAUUUCACCAGCUUCUUUUUGAGCAAAAGGGGCACAAAAACACUGCGCAUGGAGAAAAAUCUCUUUGGGAACUUUCUAUUGCAAUCAGGCAAGAACAAAAAGCUAGUUUCUUGUGCUCUCUCCACCAAUGUAUGCCCUAUCAAACCAUCUUUGUGAA